CGGGGGGGGCAAGCGUUGUUCGGAAUUACUGGGCGUAAAGGGCUCGUAGGCGGCCAACUAAGUCAGACGUGAAAUCCCCAGGCUCAACCUGGGAACUGCGUCUGAUACUGGAUGGCUUGAAUUCGGGAGAGGGAUGCAGAAUUCCAGGUGUAGCGGUGAAAUGCGUAGAUAUCUGGAGGAAUACCGGUGGCGAAGGCGGCAUCCUGGACCGACAUUGACGCUGAGGAGCGAAAGCUAGGGGAGCAAACGGGAUUAGAUACCCCGGUAGUCCUAGCCCUAAACGAUGAAUGCUUGGUGUAACGGGUAUCGAUCCCUGUUGUGCCGAAGCUAACGCAUUAAGCAUUCCGCCUGGGGAGUACGGUCGCAAGGCUG
rnacentral:rRNA from 1 species